CCCUUAGAUGUUCUGGGCUGCACGCGCGCUACACUGAUGCAUCCAACGAGCUUGCGACCUUGCCCGAGAGGGUUGGGUAAUCUUUUCAAAAUGCAUCGUGAUGGGGAUAGAUUAUUGCAAUUAUUAAUCUUCAACGAGGAAUUCCUAGUAAGCGCGAGUCAUCAGCUCGUGCUGAUUACGUCCCUGCCCUUUGUACACACCGCCCGUCGCUCCUACCGAUUGAGUGUUCCGGUGAAUAAUUCGGACUGUAGUAGUUUGGGGUCCCUCAGGCUGCAGCGGAAAGUUUAGUGAACCUUAACACUUAGAGGAAGGAGAAGUCGUANCA
rnacentral:rRNA from 1 species